CAACAGCACCCGGAGCUCCCCGAUUUCCCUGGAGGAGUGGGGCCCCACCACUCGCAUGGGCAUAGAGUCGAUUGCCAGCGCCACCCAAAAGUCUGGAGCCAAACUUGGGGGUUGCCCUAUACCGACCGAAAGGAAGGAGAAAUAAAUAAAUAUAUUGGGAAACCCAUUUCACCUUGGAUCGGUGAUGCUAUUACGCUGACCGCAGCUGUACGUGUGACCACGGCUUUCAGCGGAAUAUCAAUGCGAGAACAAAUGUACAUUCGAACCUUACGCAAACGCUUAAUGCGAAAGUAAUCCAAAGAAAUUUAUGGAGC